UCUAGCACGCAGCACUUUGGGUUUUUUUUUUCAGCGCUUUCUUUGAUACUCUCGUGUCCCAGGUUCGAACCCAGGCGUGUCCACCUUCAUUCCUUUUAUUUUAUUUUUCAUUUUAUAGUUUGUUCUGCUUUGUCUUUUGUUUUAUUUUCUAGUUUUAUUUUUCGUCUUUCUAUUUCUAGUCAUUUAAGGUGGUUGUUUAUUUUUAUUUUUUUGUUUUAGUUUAUUUUUAUUUUUUUGUUUUAGUUUAUUUUUUAUUUUUCACACAUUGAGGACAAUGUGUGAUUUAAGUUUGGGGGUGGGAAAUAAGAAAUUUUAGGUUUUUAGCUUUUGUGUCAGUUAAAAAAUUUCAUUAUUUUAAGUUAAUAUCAAUGAAUUAUUUUAAACGUUAGAACAGAUAGACAUGGUGAAGGUUGAUCCCAUAAUCAAGUCUUUUAUAUUUAUCGUUGCUUAGACACUAAUUCAUGAGUUAUACUUUGAAAAUUGCACAUUCACACCAACCUGGUUUGUGGGGAGUAAGAUUGAAACACUUACUUUUAGUCUAAGUGUAUUUUAAUUUUUGUUCUUAGUAAAGUACAGUUUAGUAUGUGUUACAAAUAAAGUAAUAAUUGUUCCACCUGGGACUUUGCUUAGUAACUGGGUCAGUCCUGCCUAAUCAACAUUGAUUCUCGCGUCAAACGAUAGAGUCUUGGCAUGGGGCAGGGUGGUUAGUUGGUUUUGUAGCCUUUUCAGCUCAAGUUAAUAAGUCCUUAGAGGUGUUCUGCACCUAGUGCCCUAAAGCC
rnacentral:lncRNA from 1 species